rnacentral:rRNA from 1 species
AUGAACAAGGACAUUUGCAAUCCUUUGCAAUUAUUAGUCUUUUUGGGAUCACUGAAAGUGGACGUGACAUCACAAGAGGAGUUUGAUUUGAUGGUGCUUCUCGAGCACCCGAUCUCGAGCUCCAAGGAAGUUGUUGUUGUGAUCAUCAUCCUCUGCGUGCAGAUACGAAGGAGAGGAGCCUCACAUCGUGCUUUCUUUGGAAACGCUGCACAAUCGAUCUAUGCCGGCAAAAUUGUGCAGCACGUGGAUAUGCUAAGAGUGAAAGCACAUUGUGAGCAAGUGAUAAGUUUUCCUUGCCAUGGAAUUGAUGAUUGGGUGGCGAAGCAGUUUCGAUCAGAUGAAGCGUCGGCUUGUCGUCUCGAUCGAGCCGCCCCCGUGUCACCCAAAUGGCGCGCAAGGGAUCUCGGAGAUAGAUCUCCUGCGUCACCCGCAUCGUGCCUUUGUCCCAUUGACCUUCCCUCUGGCAGAGACGAGGGAUUUUUCGGGAGGCUACUAAGGAGAAAGGAUGGACAGCCCUCCAGCCAACAGUCUGAAACCAACAAGGAACAGGCCUGUUUAGCACAGAGAGCUAAGGCCUCAGCAAUGAGGGGGUUUGUCAACCCCGGGAAGGGUUUACUCCAGGCUCCCAUGAACGACAGCCCACAGGCCCAAACAUGGGAGAGCGCUAGUUGUGACAUGCGAUCAGCCGUGAGAUCGAGCAGUUACUUUCCUAUAUCGUUCUAUCCUCCUCGUAAUUUCGUUCGUGGAUCGCAUCAUACAUCAACAGAUCAAAUUCAACUUGAAGGAAUCAAGGAAAUUUCUCCUCCAAGAGUGCAUAUAAGCAUUGCUUCAACAACUUUGACCUACCAGCUAGACAGCGACCGAAAGAGGUUCAUCCUCAGAUUGUUGCUCUUCUUAAGCAAGUUUGGCAGGACAAACUCAUGGCACCACGGGUACAGACAUUUGCUUGGAGACUUCUUAGGAGAGCGCUUCCUACAGGAACAACUGGUGCAGCCGACAAUACAAAAUCCACACUCUUUUUCAGGCAACACAAUCUUUUGUGAUGCUGCGUGGGAAAUACGUCUAGCUCACACUCCUAAACAAGCAGGAAUUGAAGUCUUCAUUCAGGUUCAGAAUAAUGAUCGAAUCCAUCAACUUCACAUUGCAGCUAUGUCUCCUAUGGCUUCUUCUCCUCUACAAGCUGAGACUUUGGGUCUCAUGCUUGCAACCAGGCUGGCAGAAAUACUCAAUAACAAGGGUAAAGGACUCCCAGAAAAAGCUCGACAAGUUGUGGCUGAGAUAGAGAGGAUGCUGAAUCUUAAGGGCCUUAAUUUUGAUCAGGUGCAGAUCGGCAAGCAGCACAUGCCAGAGAAGACUUCACUGAUCAGCGAGCCGGUGGUGUUUGGACAGGACGACGAAUGA